GUGGAGGAAGCGCAAGCGGAGAGUGAGAAAGAUAAGGAGCAGUGAGCAUGAGCGGCAGGACUGCGCGCACCGCCUCUGUGCACAAUCCCUACCCCACAGUCUGGCUGCAGCAACGACCGCACUCCUCUUAACCGGCCCUCCUCUGUGGAUAUAACCAAGGACUGACUCCCUGCUUCCCCACCCUUGCAACAACAAAAAAACAAAAAAUCCAAGGUGAAAAGCAAACAAACAAAAACUUUUGCACAAUAACAAGAAAUGGGAGACAUGGGAGAUACACCCAAAAAAAAGCGCCUUAUUUCACUGUGUGUCGGUUGUGGGAAUCAGAUUCAUGAUCAGUAUAUUCUUCGCGUAUCUCCGGAUCUGGAAUGGCAUGCCGCUUGUCUAAAGUGUGCAGAGUGCAAUCAGUAUUUGGACGAAACCUGUACCUGCUUCGUUAGGGAUGGCAAAACAUACUGCAAGAGAGACUAUAUUCGAUUAUACGGAACUAAAUGUGCAAAGUGUAAUAUAGGAUUCAGUAAGAAUGACUUUGUGAUGAGAGCGCGCAAUAAAGUCUAUCACAUCGACUGCUUCCGCUGUGUGGCGUGCAGUCGCCAGCUCAUCCCCGGUGAUGAAUUCGCGUUGCGGGAAGACGGACUCUUCUGCCGGGCUGACCACGACGUUGUGGAGCGAGCAUCGGUUGGCCCAGACCCACUAAGCCCCAUGCACGGCAACAGACCUUUACAGAUGGCGGCAGAGCCCAUUUCUGUCCGACAGCCAGCUCUGAGGCCACACGUUCACAAGCAGCCUGAGAAGACGACGCGAGUACGGACAGUUCUGAACGAGAAGCAACUCCACACGUUACGGACUUGUUAUGCAGCCAAUCCCCGGCCCGAUGCGCUCAUGAAGGAGCAGCUCGUGGAAAUGACAGGCUUGAGCCCCCGUGUCAUUAGAGUCUGGUUUCAAAACAAGCGCUGUAAAGACAAAAAAAGGAGUGUGCUCAUGAAACAAUUGCAGCAACAGCAACCCAACGACAAAACAAAUAUCCAGGGGAUGACAGGAACCCCAAUGGUAGCAGCCAGUCCAGAGAGGCAUGAUAGCAGUUUGCAAGCCAAUCCAGUGGAGGUGCAGAGUUACCAACCGCCUUGGAAAGUUUUGAGUGACUUCGCUUUGCAGAGUGAUAUAGAACAGCCUGCAUUUCAGCAACUGGUUAAUUUUUCAGAGGGAGGGCCAGGUUCUAACUCCACUGGAAGUGAAGUAGCGUCUAUGUCCUCCCAACUCCCUGACACACCAAAAACAGCAUGGUAGCGAGUCCUAUAGAGGCAUGAGGAACCUGAAAUCUCAGUGCAGCCCUACAGAGAGCCACGAGGAACCCUGGACCCUCAAUACUCUCUGGCCCACACUUUUUAAACAAAAAAGUUCUUGCAACCUGGUCCAUGUCUGAUCAGAAAGCAGCCAUCAUCCGUUUGCACGAAGUCUCUGUGUUCAAACAACCAAUGUUGUACCCUAGCAACACUGUGACGACAAUCAGACACUAGAGUGGGAUUUGGCUACCAUCGCAAGUAGAAGAGAUUCCCGAGACAUCCGGGACUUCAUUCAGAGACAUUUUUGAAGAUAUAGGAUGUACACUCGAGUGAUCCUGAGGGAAUGCAUUGCACACGCAAACAGAUAAGACGAUCCAGUGGAGAGACUGUAGUCCCAACAUCUUCAAUGGUGCUGCCUAGAAAGGACAUCAGUGGGUCAGCUUUGCCAAAAAUUCAGAAGAGUCCCAUACAUCUGCAAAAAGUGGACUGGAAAGACAAUCGUGACAUGCAGAAUGUACCACAGCCUAAGUAGUUCAGCGACUGUCCUAUCGGAUCAGUUCUGAAAGGUAUAGUUGCAUUUUUGCAGUGCUUUUAGUUGAUCUAUAACAAGGACUAUUGGAUUCUAAAUCAUUAGCAAAUAGCUGGUUCAUAAGAUUACUGUCCCUACAAAGAAAGUAUGAAGGCAACUACUGAUGUUUCAUUUUUUUUAUUUUUUAUUAAAAAGCUCAAGCAUUGCAACAAGGUAUACCUCUUUUUGCCACAGCUUCGUGGGAUUUGUGUGUGAACUCGUGUCCGUCCAGAAUUGUCCCAAAGAUGUGUAUGUUCCUAGGUUAAACCAGUUACCAACAACGGAUUUAGCUCUGGAAAGAAACAAUUUCUUGUACUGCAAAAAAAUUUAAAUAAUUUAUUAUUUAUUGUCAACAGACUUGCCACUUUUCAUGUCUUUUUGACAUUUUAUGUUUGCUGAAGUAAAAGAUGUACUGUGGUCUUUGGAAAACAUGUCUAAUUUUAUGUGUCCUGUCUUUUCUUGAAGAUUAUGUAAAACGCCAUAUGUAGAAAUAUAUCCUCAAGAUUAUUUCACUAAUAAAAUCAAAAUAACUGAAAAAUUAUGUAAGUCUUUUGCAGAUUCUGCAAUUACAUUUUCAAUAAAUUAGCUUGCAAGGCUAACAGUUUUUUACAACUAUUUUAGUUGAUUUAUUGGUAUAUGUUUAAUGGAAGACACCAAUCCCAAUUUUAAUCACCAAUCUUUUAAAAACUCAAAUAUAAAUAUUUUGAUAAUUUUUCUGUUAGUAUGGUCAAAAUAUCUAUUAUAAUUUCGAAGAAAAACAUGUAAUUAAUUACAUUCACUUAGAUAUGAAGAAUAAUGUUGUAAAGUCAUAUUCCUAUCUUUUGACAACUUUUAUUGUGAAACUAUGUCCAGCAUGUGAACAAUUAGCUGAGUUUCAAAAAUCGACUUCAGCUAAAAUGUUCCUUGAUUAGUGCUGAUAAGUUUGGCUUUGGUAAACCGCGCUGCUAGUAUGACAUGUUUGGUUAUUGGUUAUUUUGUGGGUUUUACAUUAGUAGUCCUAUUAACUUGAUUCCUUAAGGGCGGCAGAUAGACUGAGAGGCGGGUGGGGGGAUUCCAAAUGCGGAACAGCUGGUUUGUUGUGGAGUAACAAAGAACUGCAGAUGCUGGUUUACAAACAAAAACACGAAGUGCUGAAGUAAAUGGUGAUUUGUUGUAUUUUUCUAUGUGUGGGUAAACACAUCUGGGCCAAACAUAUAAGAUAGGAGCAAGGUCUGCUAUCUAUCUGUCGCAAUCGAGCUAACAAGACACUUCCCGUGACACGUAAUACUUUUAAAUAAACAAAGGUACAGCAGCCCAUUCUCCUUCCCACUAUAUAUAGUUGCAGUGGGCAAAUUAGAAAUGCGCGCCCAGAUCAUUUACUUGAUAAAGUUAAAGAUUAAUAUGAACUGGAUUCGAACUAUGCAAUUCCCUAAAGAAGAUUCGGUUAUUUUGUUGUGAGCACGUGAUUGUCAUGGAAUCAGUUACAAGAAAACGGCAGAGGCUAGGGCAACUCACAUCCGUUCUCAUCACUGCUGAAUCUCCCAACUGGUUGGGCCAAUUGAUUUUUAUCUAGUCUGACAACUUCCUUUCCUAAAAAAAGAUAAUCUUGCAAGUCAUGAUUUAAAUUAAAAAAAAACAUAAUUACUCCACUCCUUUCUUAAACAAGUAUAGUACCUCGGAUGAUGGGUGUUUAAUGAUAAUUAUUUAAAUAAAAUAAAUGUAAUUUAAUUGCAAUAGAGUUCCUAAACGUCUAUUAGAGUAACCACUAUCAGAAGUAUUUGGUACUUCUUAUUUACAGACGUUUUAAUUCUGCCCAUGUCAGUUCAAAAUUGCAUCCUCAUUGCAUCGCCCGAAGUACAUAGAUUUAAUGGAAUGCCUAUCAGUAUAGGUUCAAUAGUCACAGAUUCUACCUGAUUAGACGUCAAAAUGGACAGUUGCUGCCUCACAAACCAUCCGGUCGACGUUUAUCUUCUUGACCUUAUUUGUCCAUUUGGUUUGCCCCAUGCAGUAUUUUCAAUUCAAAUUCACGGCUGAGAUCCCAUUAGAUGUCACAUGCACCUUCUUUGCCCCGGUAGCUUAAUUUACAUCCUACCGUAAUAUAUAGAUGCUUUCCCACGGCAGGAUCGCCUUGAACUCUAUCGGCAGGGCCUACGAUGAAAAAAAAGGUGGCUUGUUGAAAAGGGCCGUUUCAAACAAAUGUUUCAGUGUAACAAGGGACUAGGUGGCGUUUAAGGCAAUGGUCUUGAAAUACGAAACACAAGGAACCGCAGAUGCAGAAGGGUCCCGAUCCGAACCGUCGCCUAUCCAUGUCUUCCAGAGAUGUUGGCCGACCCGCUGAGUUACUCCAGCACUUUGUGUGUUCUUGCAAUACGAAACACCUUAGUUUUAAGUGUGAGCGAUGUGGCAAUAUCAACUCGUUAUAAUAUUAAAUAUGCAUUGUCUUUGGUGCAAGUAAAUUGUAAGAUUCACAUCGAAUUACCUGAAUGUCAACCAUUGGGACAGGUGGUAUUUUGCAAGCAGUAUAUAACGUGCCUUCCUUUCAUUAGGACGAUUACUCAAACGUUGUAUAUAAUUGCACGCAAUCACAGUUCAUAGCAAUCUAUUAGUAAUUAGCUAUAACAUAGCCACUGUUGUGUGGUCCAGCUGGCUUUUUCCAAGUUAUAUAGAUCAUCAUAGAUCGCACAUUAUAUGGUCACCUUUUGCUUAUGAGUAACUAUGGGCCUUAUUCUUAGAAGAAUGGCUCUACCAUUAUUUGCCUGUAUCUACCAAUAUCGUCCAAAUGCUUAAGAAGGAACUGCAGAUGCUGGAAAAUCGAAGGUACACAAAAAUGCUGGAGAAACUCAGCGGGUGCAGCAUCAUCUAUAGAGCGAAGGAGAUAGGCAACGUUUCGAGCCAAAACCCUUCUUCAGACUUAUGACGUUGAUUUGAUCUGUCAGAAAUACCGUUCUUGGAAACAGUGUAGAAGCAACGAGCAUUACCAGGCACGGAAUGGACACCGAAUCUCCAAGUUAUUAAUAUCAUAGUCCGCAAAGCAAUUGUACGUAUUAUAUUACUGAAGUUCCCAGGGGUGGGACUAUCCUUUCCUUAGUAAAUUCACACACAUUGUAAACUAAAGUAAAACUUACCCCACUAUGACUAUGAGUCGACCUUUCUGUGCGAGAAAUUAAAAAAGAAAAUCCGUGGUAAA